rnacentral:lncRNA from 1 species
AUGCGUGCACACGCAUGCACACCUCUAAACCAUCACACGUGCACACAAACCCUCCCACCCUCAGACACCCGCACAGGUGCCCAGCCAGGCCUCAACACCAAGCCCCUCCCCCACCCCUUUGCAGAAGUAGGUGGAAAGGGCUGGGGUUUGAGGGCGCUCUUUCUCCUCCCUCCCUCGGGUCCCUGCUCUCCAAGGUCCAGAGUCCCGGUGGGUUUUGAAGGCCGCCCCGCCCCCCAACCUGGCUUGAGGAACGAAUGGCGAGAGGGGGGAUGGGAAGCCUGGUCUCGAAUCGUUCUGAUUUUAAGUCCUUAUAUUAACCCCUUCUUUGCCUCUGGCCUGCUCCAAUCCCCCGCGGUCGGGGAGCCUCCCGGGCCUCCAGAGGGCUGUGGGGGAGAAGCAAGGGGAGGAGGCAGCGGCUGGGGUCCUCCCUGCCUUCUCUCCAGGAGCGGUCCCGCAGCGCGCCCGCGACUCGCCCUUACCUCCUCCACCCCGCGACGAGGCCAGGCCCCGCGGCCCUCUGCUGGGGGUGCAGAGGCAGCCCCCGCGUGCCCGGGCCAGAUGCAGGGCCGCCUCGGGGCCUCGGAUCUCGCUCCCCUCCGCAGCCUCGGGUGGCCGCCGCGGCUGGCGCCCCCGCCUCCCUAUCGGGGCGGGGGCGGCCAAGCCUCCCAGCCAGUCGCAGCGGGAGGGGCACACAAACAGGGUGGGGGAAGGAUGGAGGAGGGAGGAGGGGGCGCGCGGCCGGAGGAAAGGAAAGGAAGGGGUAGGGAGGCGGCGAGGAGGUGGGGCAGAGCCGGCCCCUCCUCCGGGGCGGGCUCUCCUGCGAGCUGGGGAGCGGCAGAUGCCGCCAGAAGCGGCUGCGCCGGGACCCCACGUUUUCCGCUGAAGGUGGCUUCGGUGGGGGCGGGGUCCGCGGCGCCGCCCUGGGGGUGCCCGGGCCUCUCCGGCCGAGCCCCCCUUGGCUCCCUGUCCUCCACGGUCGCGGCACCGCCCAGUGCACUCCCCCUGCCCCAGGCACCUCCGGUUGUGACUUCUGCUGCCCACCUUUAA